rnacentral:rRNA from 1 species
UACGUAGGGGGCUAGCGUUGUCCGGAAUCAUUGGGCGUAAAGAGCUUGUAGGCGGUUUGUCGCGUCUGCUGUGAAAUUUCGGGGCUCAACCCCGAACUUGCAGUGGGUACGGGCAGACUAGAGUGUGGUAGGGGAGACUGGAAUUCCUGGUGUAGCGGUGAAAUGCGCAGAUAUCAGGAGGAACACCGAUGGCGAAGGCAGGUCUCUGGGCCAUAACUGACGCUGAGAAGCGAAAGCAUGGGGAGCGAACAGG